rnacentral:misc_RNA from 1 species
GUGUGUGUGUAUAUAUAUAUAUAAAGCCCCACAUAUAUAGCAACAAAAAUCCAACAUUUGCAUAAAGUUGCAAUAGUUGCAAAAUUGUCACCUUCAAUACUCAAUAGCAGGUAGUGAUAGAAAAGCACUAGAGCACAGAAAGAAAAAGAAUCUUAAUUUCAGUAAUAUUUUUUUCUUCGAGUUUGGCCAUAGAUUCAAGAAAGAGCAGGUGAUGAUCUCGCCGUUUAAGGUAUCAACUAUUAAGAUAAUUAAAAAUCAAAUAUAUCUGCCUUCUGGAGAUUAUCUGACUGCAGCUUCCUCAUCCUCCAUUGCACACAUAAAUUCUGAAUGGCAUGUGCAUGCAUGCUAGCUGAUGAUUGAGCAAACAGAAUCAUAUUGGAAGAAGCUGCCUGAUUGGAAACCUACAUUAAGGGAUUCAUUUUAACCAAGUUGAGAAUUUGGUGAUUGAAUGGUCAACCCUCAAAAUAACUUGCAAGUUUACCAGGCAACAGUGAUAGAAUCCUCUGAGGCUCUGACUCAUCACAUGCACCUAAUAAAGGCUAUACAACAUGCAUAAGUUAUUGGAAGCAAUUUCUUGAAAACAGUUAUUGAAAAUUUCACUUUCUUUAUCUUUUGACAUGUGAAGGUUUUAUCACCCAACUUCUCAAUUGAAUCCUUUUCCUGUAACAAAUAACUCGCAAUGUGUAAAAAAACACAGAGAGAAGGCAGCAGAAAGAAUUUAGCCCCAUUGGUCGCUUACUUUAACCAUUGCUAUAUGCUCUA